rnacentral:rRNA from 1 species
UGCAGUCGAACGGUGUCUUCGGACAUAGUGGCGGACGGGUGAGUAACGCGUGAGAAUCUGCCUUCAGGUUGGGGACAACAGUUGGAAACGACUGCUAAUACCCAAUGUGCCGAGAGGUGAAAGCUUUAGUGCCUGAAGAUGAGCUCGCGUCUGAUUAGCUAGUUGGUGGGGUAACGGCCUACCAAGGCGACGAUCAGUAGCUGGUCUGAGAGGAUGAUCAGCCACACUGGGACUGAGACACGGCCCAGACUCCUACGGGAGGCAGCAGUGGGGAAUUUUCCGCAAUGGGCGCAAGCCUGACGGAGCAAGACCGCGUGAGGGAGGAAGGCUCUUGGGUUGUAAACCUCUUUUAUCAGGGAAGAAGAUCUGACGGUACCUGAUGAAUCAGCAUCGGCUAACUCCGUGCCAGCAGCCGCGGUAAUACGGAGGAUGCAAGCGUUAUCCGGAUUUAUUGGGCGUAAAGCGUCCGCAGGUGGUUAUUCAAGUCUGCUGUUAAAGCGCGAGGCUUAACCUCGUACAGGCAGUGGAAACUGAAUGACUAGAGUAUGGUAGGGGUAGCGGGAAUUCCCAGUGUAGCGGUGAAAUGCGUAGAUAUUGGGAAGAACACCAGCGGCGAAAGCGCGCUACUGGGCCAUUACUGACACUCAUGGACGAAAGCUAGGGGAGCGAAAGGGAUUAGAUACCCCUGUAGUCCUAGCUGUAAACGAUGGGUACUAGGUGUUGACCGUAUCGACCCGGUCAGUGCCGUAGCUAACGCGUUAAGUACCCCGCCUGGGGAGUAUGCACGCAAGUGUGAAACUCAAAGGAAUUGACGGGGGCCCGCACAAGCCGUGGAGUAUGUGGUUUAUUCGAUGCAACGCGAAGAACCUUACCAGGGCUUGACAUGUCCCGAAUCCCGGUGAAAGUCGAGAGUGCCUUCGGGGAGCCGCGAACA